CUACCGACUAUUAGACACACUUUCUCUAUAUCUUUUCUUCUUGCACAAUAAGUUGAAUGCUCAAUCGUACACCAAAUAGCCUAUGAACUAGGAAAUAACCAAUUCUUUAAUGACUACAAUCCAGGUUGGGGGGUUCAACCAAAUUUUUCGUGAAAAUCACAACCAGUGGUUACCCCAACAACACAACGAUCUACGUUUGUAGAAGCACCCUAUUAUGAAAUGUCCUAUUCACAAUAUCAACCUUCUCCAACUAUCUAUAGCCCAUCAUUUAAAGAGAAGAUUUUGUAAGCACU
rnacentral:lncRNA from 1 species